rnacentral:rRNA from 1 species
AUUGAACGCUGGCGGCAUGCCUUACACAUGCAAGUCGAACGGCAGCACGGGUGCUUGCACCUGGUGGCGAGUGGCGAACGGGUGAGUAAUACAUCAGAACGUACCUUAUCGUGGGGGAUAACGCAGCGAAAGCUGUGCUAAUACCGCAUACGCCCUGAGGGGGAAAGCGGGGGAUCGCAAGACCUCGCGCGAUUAGAGCGGCCGAUGCCUGAUUAGCUUGUUGGUGGGGUAAAAGCCCACCAAGGCGACGAUCAGUAGCUGGUCGGAGAGGACGAUCAGCCACACUGGGACUGAGACACGGCCCAGACUCCUACGGGAGGCAGCAGUGGGGAAUUUUGGACAAUGGGGGCAACCCUGAUCCAGCAAUGCCGCGUGAGUGAAGAAGGCCUUCGGGUUGUAAAGCUCUUUUGUCAGGGAAGAAACACCGGCUCUAACACAGUCCGGGAAUGACGGUACCUGAAGAAUAAGCACCGGCUAACUACGUGCCAGCCGCCGCAGUAA